AAUUGAACGCUGGCGGAAUGCUUUACACUUGCAAGUCAAACGGCAGCACGGACUUCGGUCUGGUGGCGAGGGGCAAACGGGUGAUUAAUAUAUCGAAACGUGCCCAGUCGGGGGGAAUAACGUAUUGAAAAUUACCCUAAUACCGCAUACAAUCUAUGGAUGAAAGCGGGGGAUCGCAAAACCUCGCGCGAUUGGAGCGCCCAAUAUCAAAUUAGGUAGUUGGUGAGGUAAAGGCUCACCAAGCCAACGAUCUGUAGCUGGUCUGAAAGGACAACCACCCACACUGGAACUGAAACACGGUCCAAACUCCUACGGGAGGCAGCAGUGGGGAAUUUUGGACAAUGGACGCAAGUCUGAUCCACCCAUUCCGCGUGCAGGACGAAGGCCUUCGGGUUGUAAACUGCUUUUGUACAGAACAAAAAGGUUUCUAUUAAUACUAGGAGCUCAUGACGGUACUGUAAAAAUAAGCACCGGCUAACUACG
rnacentral:rRNA from 1 species